AGUCGGACCUGCCCAGUGAAAUUUUUUAACGGCCGCGGUACUCUGACCGUGCAAAGGUAGCAUAAUCAUUUGCCUUAUAAUUGAAGGCUAGUAUGAAUGGUUUGACAAGAAUAUAGCUGUCUCUUUCUGAUUAAAUAGAAUUUUAUUUAGAGGUGAAGAAGCCUCUAUCAAAUUAAAAGACAAGAAGACCCUAUCGAGCUUUAAAAAAGUUAAUAGAUGNGAAUAAUUUAUANUAUUUAAAAAAUUAACUAUUAAAAAUUUUAGUUGGGGCGACUGAGGAACAAAAAAAGCUUCCUUUAUNAGCAUAANAACCACACGAGUAUUGAUCCAGAAUAUUUUGAUUAAAGGAAUUAGUUACCGUAGGGAUAACAGCAUUAUCUUUUUUAAGAGUUCUUAUCGAAAAGAAGGUUUGUGACCUCGAUGUUGGACCAGAAUAUCCUAAAGAUGCAGUAGUCUU
rnacentral:rRNA from 1 species